rnacentral:rRNA from 1 species
AUGAACGCUGGCGGCGUGCCUAAUACAUGCACGUCGAGCGAACAGACGAGGAGCUUGCUCCUCUGACGUUAGCGGCGGACGGGUGAGUAACACGUGGAUAACCUACCUAUAAGACUGGGAUAACUUCGGGAAACCGGAGCUAAUACCGGAUAAUAUAUUGAACCGCAUGGUUCAAUAAUGAAAGACGGUUUUGCUGUCACUUAUAGAUGGAUCCGCGCCGCAUUAGCUAGUUGGUAAGGUAACGGCUUACCAAGGCAACGAUGCGUAGCCGACCUGAGAGGGUGAUCGGCCACACUGGAACUGAGACACGGUCCAGACUCCUACGGGAGGCAGCAGUAGGGAAUCUUCCGCAAUGGGCGAAAGCCUGACGGAGCAACGCCGCGUGAGUGAUGAAGGUCUUCGGAUCGUAAAACUCUGUUAUUAGGGAAGAACAAAUGUGUAAGUAACUAUGCACGUCUUGACGGUACCUAAUCAGAAAGCCACGGCUAACUACGUG